rnacentral:rRNA from 1 species
UACACAUGCAGUCGAGCGGUAACAGGGGGUGCUUGCACCCCGCUGACGAGCGGCGGACGGGUGAGUAAUGCAUAGGAAACUGCCCAGUAGUGGGGGAUAGCCCGGGGAAACCCGGAUUAAUACCGCGUACGCCCUUCGGGGGAAAGCAGGGGAUCUUCGGACCUUGCGCUAUUGGAUGUGCCUAUGUCGGAUUAGCUAGUUGGUGGGGUAAAGGCCUACCAAGGCGACGAUCCGUAGCUGGUCUGAGAGGAUGAUCAGCCACAUCGGGACUGAGACACGGCCCGAACUCCUACGGGAGGCAGCAGUGGGGAAUAUUGGACAAUGGGGGCAACCCUGAUCCCAGCCAUGCCGCGUGUGUGAAGAAGGCUUUCGGGUUGUAAAGCACUUUCAGUGAGGAGGAAAACUCUGCGACUAAUACUCGUAGGGCUUGACGUUACUCACAGAAGAAGCACCGGCUAACUCCGUGCCAGCAGCCGCGGUAAUACGGAGGGUGCAAGCGUUAAUCGGAAUUACUGGGCGUAAAGCGCGCGUAGGUGGUUUGAUAAGCGAGAUGUGAAAGCCCCGGGCUUAACCUGGGAACGGCAUUUCGAACUGUCAGGCUAGAGUAUGGUAGAGGGUAGUGGAAUUUCCUGUGUAGCGGUGAAAUGCGUAGAUAUAGGAAGGAACACCAGUGGCGAAGGCGGCUACCUGGACCAAUACUGACACUGAGGUGCGAAAGCGUGGGGAGCAAACAGGAUUAGAUACCCUGGUAGUCCACGCCGUAAACGAUGUCUACUAGCCGUUGGGACUCUUGAAGUCUUAGUGGCGCAGCUAACGCACUAAGUAGACCGCCUGGGGAGUACGGCCGCAAGGUUAAAACUCAAAUGAAUUGACGGGGGCCCGCACAAGCGGUGGAGCAUGUGGUUUAAUUCGACGCAACGCGAAGAACCUUACCUGGCCUUGACAUGCAGAGAACUUUCCAGAGAUGGAUUGGUGCCUUCGGGAACUCUGACACAGGUGCUGCAUGGCCGUCGUCAGCUCGUGUCGUGAGAUGUUGGGUUAAGUCCCGUAACGAGCGCAACCCCUAUCCCUAGUUGCUAGCAGUUCGGCUGAGAACUCUAGGGAGACUGCCGGUGACAAACCGGAGGAAGGUGGGGAUGACGUCAGGUCAUCAUGGCCCUUACGGCCAGGGCUACACACGUGCUACAAUGGUGCGCACAGAGGGCUGCAAACCCGCGAGGGGGAGCCAAUCUCACAAAACGCAUCGUAGUCCGGAUCGCAGUCUGCAACUCGACUGCGUGAAGUCGGAAU